CCAAGAUCAGUGAAAUUACCUAAACAAAAAAGCAGAGUAAGUUAUGAACUCUGAUAAAUACAACUAACAAUGAUUUUUGUUUACAUAUUACCCAUCAAAUAAAAGAUAAACAAACACAGUCACAACAAGAGAUACAAGAGACAAUCCCGACAGACACAAAGGCGGCAACAACAGCUCCACAUGCUCACUCCUCUUGUCUUAUAAAAAUAGUUUACAUGUCCAAUAUCAACAGGCCAAUGCUAUUGUCUUUUUAUGAGAAAUACAUAAAUUCAUUUAAAACUCAUUAAAACCCAAAUACUCAGAACUGUCACUCAUUUUAUAGUUAUUUAUACAAGUCCUUAUAUAUUUGUUUUAAAGGUCCGGUAAAAGCAACAAGUUUACAAAUAAAAUAAAAACAUAUAACAAACAUAAUAAAAAUAAUAAAAAUUAUUACUUAAUACACACAACAUACACGACUAAACUGGAGAAAAAAUAUCCAGAAAUAAAAGGUACUCUCAACAACUUUAAUAUAAUUUAUGUACUCUCAACAAUACAAAAAAUAAAUUAAAAAAACAAACAAACAAUAAGUUUCAGUGACACAACAAACAACAACACGAACUAUAUCAAUCACAUUACUAACACUGUUUAGUCAUGCAUACAUAGUUCAGCAUCACAACUCUAACCUUAUAACAAUAAAAAAACUUGAAAAAUAACUCAAAACGCA
rnacentral:lncRNA from 1 species